rnacentral:lncRNA from 1 species
UUUUAAUUUCUAUCGAUAUCUUAAACAAGCAUGGCUGAUUAAAUGAUUAGUGUCGUCUGCUGCUUUCGUUUUAUUUCACAGAACUUUAACAAAGAAAAUUUUCAAAAACUCUUAAAUCUCCUUAUCUAUGGAAUAAUUCAAUUACACACUUCAGGAUGCUGUUUACCAGAUUUGAGCCCAGAGACGAGACAGCCAUCAUAACCACUAGAUAUGCCAGUUUUGCUUGUGCUUGUAUUCACCUGUCAGCAGCAAUAAUCUUAACAUCAUCACUUGGAAAAACAGCAUCCCUCUGGAUUGGAGAAACUACCGAUGUCGAUCGAGUUAUGGAUCUCUUCUUCCACUUUCUUUUAAUCCCCUCUGCCCUCGUGUAUAUCCAUGUGUGUGUGGGUGUAUUCACGAGGACGUCCUUUUUUCCUAUCCUUCUCGGUGUCUUCAACUUUUCAGCGGAAUAGAUGGAGCAAAUGUGGAUGCCUGGCCGUAUUUCCCAGGCUUAAAGGUAGGACAAAUUUGUCUAUCUAUUCUUACUUUUUGAAUGUUUGGUGACGUUGAUUGUGAAUCGCGAUACAGUACGGAGUACGAUUAUUCCUGAGUUAUAGGCGGUUGACUGCAACUAUUUUCUCUUGACAUUUUUGUUUUAUCUCAGUCAGGGUUCACUAAAAAUCUCAUUUGUCGAACGACUGCAGAUCAGGCUUGUUUUUGUUCCUUUUUUUCCAUUGCGACUUUUGCGCUCCGCAAGAUGCUGUUGUUGUUGUCGGUUAUUUGUAAGGGUAAAAUAUGACCGCCAAGAUAUUAUCUCUACAUAUCUGCCACUCGCCAUUCGCUGGUUUUUGUGCAAAGGGUUCGGCGCAAAUCCCCACACAAACAUAUUCAGGUCGGGAUCAAAUUAGUUUUAAACGUUAUCGAGCAACUGUUGCCAUUGGCUUAUUUAAUUGCCUUCAUUUGACGACUGAAGUAUACCGGAUACUCCUCCUUCUCCCUUACGGUCUAUUGAACAAUCUCCGGGAGUAUGACGUCAUUCAAGUACACUCACAGUAUACAAAUGUUUCAGAAUUUCGUUUUCUUUCGCCUGUCUAUACAACCGAAUCGCUUCACGACUAGUUUUUUCUCUAUUCUAACGCAUCAAGGCCAAGCCAAAACAACGAAGUGAACCAUAGAUUUUUUUGUCGAUCCCGGGACCAUCAAGUCAUCGUCGCUUUUCAAAACAUUCACGUACGUGUACACGAAAAAAAAAUUGACUUUGAGGAUAUAGAUGGAGAAACGCCAUUCGUCUUUCAUGUCACCUGGCCAUAUUCCACCCACAACACAAGAUCUAUUGAUGAUUUUUCUCUCUCUUAAACUUUCGAUGCAUAUAACAUGCCCAUGUAUUAUACACACACACACACACAUAAUAAUCACCACUUUUGGCUUCGCGCGUCGACUUAUGUACAUGCAAAAGGCCAUGAAAGACUCUUUGCUGCCGGAUAGUCUAAAGUCCAUUAGAGUUGUGUGUGUAUAUUUCCUUCUUCUCUUAUUUCUUUUGGAGGACGACAGGAUAUGUUUAUUCUUUCAAAUUUGCAUUGCGCGACUUUUGCGCUCUGCGAGAUCCUGUUGUUGUUGUUGCCGGCCAUUAUAUGGGUGAAAUGUGGCCGCCACGAUAUUAUCAGUCUUAUUAUGCGUCUACAAUAUUAUCUGCGACUCGCCAUUCGUUGGUGUUUGUGCAAAGGGUUCGGCGCAAUCCCGACACACACACACACACACAUAGAGAAAAAGCAAAAGAAGAUGGGCCAGUCACGCCGGGGCUUCUCGCAUUAUCAGCUUAUCUUCUUCUUCUUAUUCUUCUUGUGUCUGUGUGAGUCUAUAUCCUUUUAGUUUGUCUCUCUCUCUCUCUUCUUAGUUUUCUUCUAGCAACAGCGCAGAGACCGUGAACUUGCUCGACUGUUAUCUCGGUCGUCCAUGUCAGUCGUAUUACGUGUCGUCAGAGUUCCAAAAGCUUUUGAUUAUUCAGCGCACCGAAAAGUCUGGAGAGGAAGAGAGAGAUGGGAGAGCGAUGCCGGAACCGGUCUGAGGUCACCUUCCCUUUUCGUUGUUUUUUGUCUGGCGCAAAAAUAUCUCUCUCUCUCUCUCUCUCUCUUGACUGACGGCCAGAGUUGAUGUGACUGGCUGAUGGCUGGCCUGUUUGACGAGUGACGCCCUCGACCAAACUGCGAAACACUGCGCACUUCCAAUGAGAGAGAGAAAAAAACGCAAUCUUUUUUCUUAUUUUCUUUUUAAUUCCAUUCCACAAAUGGUCGAAAGAAAAACAAAAAACAAGAUGGUCACUCAACUCAAUGUUCAUUCGUUUCGUUCAUCAGCUGUUUUUUGGGAUGAAGAAAAAAAAAAGGAAGUUAUAAGGAAAGAUAUUAAAAAAAGAAAGACCAGCGGGGAGUACAUUUGAGAUAAUGCGCAGCGAACUAGGAUGGGCCGCUCAUUUGCCAGUGUGACUCAACUAUCGUCUAACAUCUUUCAUUAAUGGUUGUUUUUAAUGGCGGAAAGGAACGUGCUAUUCUCAAUAGAACCCGCCGUAUAGAGAAAAGGAAGACAAAAAACCCCCAACUAAAUACUAGUUAUACUACUACUAUUCUAGACACUAAUAAUAUCGGGAGUCCCGGUGUGUGUGUGUGUGUUAGAUAACCGAUGGCGCAAGAAGUCGUCCAAAGGUAAAAACCAAACCAAAAUAGAAAGAAAAGAAAAAAAAGGUUAUGAGGAUUUGACAGUGGCGAAUAUUGGCAUUUGAGAGAGAGGCCCCCCGAAAGAAACCGUAACAUUUGGUCAAAGUGUCAGUUGCUGUUUGGUUAUUACGACAGUUGUGAUUUUGACGUUCUUCUCACUUAACAAGAUAUGAAGACUUAACCGUUCUUGACCCGCACGCAGCACAGAACGGGAUAUAGAGGGGCCAAACCGAAAGAAUUGGACGAGAGAGAAGACAUAGAGCGCAGUCCAGGGCCUUUUUUCAAUUCGUUGUUGCUUCAAUGGCUCUAAGGCCGGCUUGCAACCGUGUACAGUUUUUUGUCGCUAUGCUUGAAGCCUAACCCAGAGGACCUUUUCAUCCGGUUUGGGUUGACGUCGGGUCUCGUACUAACUAUACACAGUGGAAGGAGAGUGGGGGGAGACGAAAAUUCUAAACUGGAAAAUAACAACAACCGGACAACCGGCCUGCCCGAUGCAUGUCGUAUAAUACGUUAUGAUUAUUUUCCUGUAAAAAAAGAAGAAGGAAAAAAAGCUCACUGGCGGUCAAGUCGCCCCUAUCUACUACCUCCUUGUGUUGUUGGUCUUAGUCGUUCAUUUUUCCAGACGUGGCUUCCAGCGCGGACUUCGAAUGCGAUCAACAGACGUGAGCAGCCAAGCGAAAUGCCGAGACAUCAAACGCAGAGCCCCCCGUCUUACCCGUCAGACAAUUUCUAGAUUUAUUUAUUUUUAUUUUCGGAAGGAAAAAUAAGUCGUGGUAGCCUAACUACUUUUCCCGUUCGCUGAUUUCCGGAACUGAAUGAAUCAUAAACGGGGGGUCACACCCACAUGUUUUAAAAAAAGAAUUAAUUCGAUAGACUUGAACUCUGUUUUUUCUUCAAAGAUGAGUUUCUUUUUUGUUUUGUUUUUUGGGGUUUGACAUUUCUUCACGAACGAGCGACAAUUGUAAGGUCUCCCAGUGUACAAGAGGAUCAGCGAUAGAAAUAAUUCACGCAAUACCCAUAGACAUAUCGAGUCGUUCCUGUUGUAACUUCUCAACUUACGUGAAAGUCGCAUUCAACUAUCGUAUAUUGAUACUUUUAUUCGAAAAGAAAAGGGAAAAAUUGUUUCAGGACUUUAUGGCCGUCCCUAUAGUGCCAAAUUGUCCAUCCAGCAGGUUGGUAUGAAUAUAGGAGAGUCGGUGAAUAUAAUAUGAGAUGAUAACAGCGGGAAGAGAAAGAAAUGACUCACCUGUCUUCUCGCAGAUCCGGUGAAAACGCAGCUCCGGGUGAUGUAACGGCCUCCUUCAAACAAAACAACACGGCGCACUCAUGUUAUCUCUCUGUGUGUGUGGCGGUGGCACUGCGAAAAUUAAAAUUUGUGAUUUGUCUUCAGACAAAAUUUUUCUUCUUGAGGAACUUACAGUCGACGUCCGCACUUUUGAGUUCCUUUUUUUGUUUUUGUUUUUAUUUCACAACCGAUGAAUAAACAUGAAACAUGUCACGGAGCCGAAAGAAACCCAAAAGAAAAAUUUAAUCCAUUGGCUCGUGUGUCGGUGAAUUAUUCAAAAUGUCUCCGUCGUCCCGUCUACUGGCGCG